CAUAUUAGUAAGCGGAGGAAAAGAAACUAACCAGGAUUCCCUUAGUAGCUGCGAGCGAACAGGGAAGAGCCCAGCACUGAAUCCCCGAGGCCUAGCUUCGAGGGAAAUGUGGUGUUUGGGAGGGUUCAUAUACCUGAUACUGCUGCACCGCGUCCAAGUCCAUCUUGAAUGAGGCCACGGUCCCGAGAGGGUGCCAGGCCCGUAGUUGGCCGGUGCUGGUGUUGGGUGAACCUCUCCUUAGAGUCAGGUUGCUUGAGAGUGCAGCCCUAAGCGGGUGGUAAACUCCAUCUAAGGCUAAAUACAACCACGAGACCGAUAGCGAACAAGUACCGUGAGGGAAAGUUGAAAAGAACUUUGAAGAGAGAGUUCAAGAGUACGUGAAACCGCUCAGGGGUAAACGGAAAAGACCCGAAAUUUCCGAAAGGGGAGAUUCACGUCUUCUCGCUGGCUCGACUCCUUGUCCAUUGUCGACGGUUCUAUGCCUCAUUCGAACUCGUUCGGAGCGAGUGGUGGAGCCGCACUGGUCGAGGAUGUAGGGUCGCGGCAGACCGCACUUCUCCCCUAGUAGGACGUCGUGACCCGUCCGAUCAUGGUCUAAGAGUGUGUUUGGGAGCCUGUUCGUGUUGUUUCGGCAAUUCACGAGCAGACCUUCGCAUUUCUGGCCAUGAAUGCUUCGGUCGGUAUCAAAAGACAGUGUUGGAUCGCUCUGCGGAGGGAGAAAUCCUUCUUCGAGAGCGCGAUUGGUCCUUGGCAAGGUAGUGAGUCGCGUUAGUCAAGACGGGCCUACGUCCGUCUGACUGCUCUCGCUCCUGUUGGUCGAGGUACUCUAUCGCCGGUCAAUUUCUAUGGCACUAGUCUACGGCGAAUCAGUUUUGGGCUCUUGUCCGACCCGUCUUGAAACACGGACCAAGGAGUUUAGCGUGUGUGCGAGUCAUUGAGUGUAAAAACUCAAAGGCGAAAUGAAAGUGAAGGGAACUUUACGUUUCUGAGGGAAGAUGAGACGGUUUCUUUUCCAAGAGCCUCUCCGCACUCCCGGGGCGUCUCUAUCUCAUUGCGAGAGGAGGCGCACCUAUAGCAUACACGCUGAUACCCGAAAGAUGGUGAACUAUGCCUGGCCAGGACGAAGCCAGGGGAAACCCUGGUGGAGGUCCGCAGCGAUUCUGACGUGCAAAUCGAUCGUCGGAGCUGGGUUUAGGGGCGAAAGACCAAUCGAACCAUCUAGUCCUGGCUUUCUUAAACUAUGAAGCCAAGGGGUUUCGGAUCAGAGUGCCAAGUGGGCCAAUUUUGGUAAGCAGAACUGGCGCUGUGGGAUGAACCAAACGCGGAGUUAAGGCGCCUCAAUCGACGCUCAUGUGAGACCAUGAAAGGCGUUGGUUGCUUAAGACAGCAGGACGGUGGCCAUGGAAGUCGGAAUCCGCUAAGGAGUGUGUAACAACUCACCUGCCGAAGCAACUAGCCCUGAAAAUGGAUGGCGCUGUAGCGUCGUGCCUAUACUCCGCCGUCAACGGCAACGCAGGCAGUCCUCUCACGGGGACGGCGCUGUUAAGCCUUGACGAGUAAGAGGGCCGCGGCGAUGUGCGCAGAAGGGUUUUGGGCGUGAGCCUGCCUGGAGCCGUCGUCGGUGCAGAUCUUGGUGGUAGUAGCAAAUACUCCAGCGAGGCCCUGGAGGACUGAUGUGGAGAAGGGUUUCAUGUGAACAGCUGUUGCACAUGAGUCAGUCGAUCCUAAGCCCUAGGAGAAAUCCGAAGCGAUGGGUUGCCGUUAAACGUUAACAAGCUUGAUGUUGGCACCAUUUGGGCGAAAGGGAAUCUGGUUCCUAUUCCAGAACCUGGCAGUGGAACCGUUCCAAAUCGGGCCCUCAUUGAGGACUCGUCAGGGCAACCUGAAAGGACCCGGAGACGCCGUCGGGAGAUUCAGGGAGAGUUGUCUCUUCUCUAUAAGCGAUCGAGUUCCCUGGAAACCUCUAGCAGGGAGAUAGGGUUUGGAUCGCGAAGAGCACCGCAGUUACGGCGGUGUCUGAAUCUUCCCCACGGACCUUGAAAAUCCGGGAGAGGGCCACGAGGAACCCCACGCCAGAUCGUACCCAUAUCCGCAGCAGGUCUCCAAGGUGAAAAGCCUCUAGUCGA
rnacentral:rRNA from 1 species